AACGAACGCUGGCGGCGUGGAUUAGGCAUGCAAGUCGAGCGAGAAAAGGGUAGCAAUACCCUGAGUAAAGCGGCGAACUGGUGAGUAACAGGUGGGUAAUGUUCCCUGAAGUGGGGGAUAACACCGGGAAACCGGUGCUAAUACCGCAUGUGACCCUUCGGACCCCGGUCUGAAUGGUUAAAGGUGCAGAUCGCUUCAGGAUCGGCCCGCCCCCGAUUAGCUAGUUGGUGAGGUCAUGGCUCACCAAGGCGACGAUCGGUAGCUGGUCUGAGAGGAUGGUCAGCCACACUGGAACUGAGAUACGGUCCAGACUCCUACGGGUGGCAG
rnacentral:rRNA from 1 species